AGUAACACGUGGGCAAUCUGCCCUGCACUUCGGGAUAAGCCUGGGAAACUGGGUCUAAUACCGGAUAGGACCUUUAGGCGCAUGCCUUUUGGUGGAAAGCUUUUGCGGUGUGGGAUGGGCCCGCGGCCUAUCAGCUUGUUGGUGGGGUGAUGGCCUACCAAGGCGACGACGGGUAGCCGGCCUGAGAGGGUGUCCGGCCACACUGGGACUGAGAUACGGCCCAGACUCCUACGGGAGGCAGCAGUGGGGAAUAUUGCACAAUGGGCGCAAGCCUGAUGCAGCGACGCCGCGUGGGGGAUGACGGCCUUCGGGUUGUAAACCUCUUUCACCAUCGACGAAGGUCCGGGUUUUCUCGGAUUGACGGUAGGUGGAGAAGAAGCACCGGCCAACUACGUGCCAGCAGCCGCGGUAAUACGUAGGGUGCGAGCGUUGUCCGGAAUUACUGGGCGUAAAGAGCUCGUAGGUGGUUUGUCGCGUUGUUCGUGAAAUCUCACGGCUUAACUGUGAGCGUGCGGGCGAUACGGGCAGACUAGAGUACUGCAGGGGAGACUGGAAUUCCUGGUGUAGCGGUGGAAUGCGCAGAUAUCAGGAGGAACACCGGUGGCGAAGGCGGGUCUCUGGGCAGUAACUGACGCUGAGGAGCGAAAGCGUGGGGAGCGAACAGGAUUAGAUACCCUGGUAGUCCACGCCGUAAACGGUGGGUACUAGGUGUGGGUUUCCUUCCUUGGGAUCCGUGCCGUAGCUAACGCAUUAAGUACCCCGCCUGGGGAGUACGGCCGCAAGGCUAAAACUCAAAGGAAUUGACGGGGGCCCGCACAA
rnacentral:rRNA from 1 species